rnacentral:rRNA from 1 species
GUCCACGCCGUAAACGAUGAGUGCUAGAUGUCGCGGGUAUUGACCCCUGCGGCGUCGAAGUUAAACGCAUUAAGCACUCCGCCUGGGGAGGUACGGCCGCAAGGCUAAAACUACAAAGGAAUUGACGGGGGCCCGGCACAAGCGGUGGAGCAUGUGGUUCAAUUCGACGCAACGCGAAGAACCUUACCUGGGUUAAAUCCACCGGAACCCCGUACGAGAUAUGGGGUGGCUCGCAAGAGAGCCGGUGAGAAGGUGCUGCAUGGCUGUCGU